rnacentral:rRNA from 1 species
GAUGAACGCUGGCGGCGUGCCUAAUACAUGCAAGUCGAGCGAACAGACGAGGAGCUUGCUCCUCUGACGUUAGCGGCGGACGGGUGAGUAACACGUGGAUAACCUACUUAUAAGACUGGGAUAACUUCGGGAAACCGGCGCUAAUACCGGAUAAUAUAUUGAACCGCAUGGUUCAAUAGUGAAAGACGGCUUUGCUGUCUCUUAUAGAUGGAUCCGCGCCGCAUUAGCUAGUUGGUAAGGUAACGGCUUACCAAGGCGACGAUGCGUAGCCGACCUGAGAGGGUGAUCGGCCACACUGGAACUGAGACACGGUCCAGACUCCUACGGGAGGCAGCAGUAGGGAAUCUUCCGCAAUGGGCGAAAGCCUGACGGAGCAACGCCGCGUGAGUGAUGAAGGUCUUCGGAUCGUAAAACUCUGUUAUUGGGGAAGAACAAAUGUGUAAGUAACUAUGCACGUCUUGACGGUACCUAAUCAGAAAGCCACGGCUAACUACGUG